AAGUAUUCUGAAAACAACGUUAAAACUGAACCUGCGAGAAAAUUCAUUUUUAAGGAUUUUCUGACCACGUUUUCAGGACUCGUGACCACCGUGCGUCGGCGUCGCAGACAAAAUUAGCUAGCAAAAGCGGAAUCAGCUCGGAUUCAUCGUAUUCUCCGCCGAAGCGGGUCAAUUAUGCGAGUCGCGAACCGUCCCAGUCGGCUAUUCCAAUCACGAUCCUGCGCCGAUAGCCGUGCACCUUGCACGCGCGGCUCGUUAGCGGAACCAAUAUAUCUCGAACCCGUGUCAAAGUUCGACGCGAAGUGUUUCAUCUGUCGCUCGAACACCUCCGAGCUAUUCCCGAUAUUCGCCUGUCCGGGACGCAGGAAUCAUUUCAACUCGACUAUGCCGAAGAAAUUAAGUAUUUUAUGGAUGAUUAUAAAAAUUAUCCAUACAUAAUGGAUGCAGUCCGCACGUUGCAGAGACAUCGUCCUUAAGAGAAUCCCAUCUCCUUUUCGAGCCACAGAACGACGAACGUUUCUACAUGCCUACCUGGCGGCCAUCAACACCGGAGUUAUUAAUUAUGAUGUAUACGUACCGAAUGUUUACGCACCGUGAAUCGUAAGAACGAAUUGAAAACUCGCCCGGACGAAUAUGGCGAAGGCCGUGGAAACGAAAAACGUGCUCGGUUCGUACGAACGAAACGAAACGUGUCGUAACCGAUUGUACCCUAAGUUCUCUAGCAUCUGAUUUCGAACGACGGGCGUCGCAUAGCGAUAAAAAAAACAUACAACAACUAAAAUUAUAUAUUUAAGCCUUACUUUUUCAUUUUACAUUGUUGGCACGUAUAUUCGGAUUUUCGCUGGGACAGAAUAAUGAAAACAAAAUGCAGCGUUUUAAUUGUUCAUAAACAAAGUUUUUAAAAAUA